rnacentral:rRNA from 1 species
GACAGAGGUGCCGAGCGUUAGGCGGAAUCACUGGGCUUAAAGCGUGUGUAGGCGGGCCGUUAAGUGUCUUGUGAAAUCCCACGGCUCAACCGUGGAACUGCUUGGCAUACUGGCGGUCUUGAGCAACCUAGGGGCGAGCGGAACAAAUGGUGGAGCGGUGAAAUGCGUAGAUAUCAUUUGGAACGCCAAUGGUGAAAACAGCUCGCUGGGGGUUUGCUGACGCUGAGACACGAAAGCCAGGGGAGCAAACGGG